AGAGAUGUGUGAUGACGCAUAUCAAUAAGCGGAGGAAAAGAAACUAACAAGGAUUCCCCUAGUAACGGCGAGUGAAGCGGGAAGAGCUCAAAUUUGAAAUCUUAAAGGGUUUCCCUUUACGAAUUGUAGUUUAAAGAAGUGUUUUCUGUUGGAGUUUCGGUAAAAGUUCUUUGGAAUAGGACAUCAUAGAGGGUGAGAAUCCCGUAUUUGACCGUUACUUUCCAGCUGUGUGAUACACUUUCAAAGAGUCGGAUUGUUUGGGAAUGCAGUCCAAAAUGGGUGGUAAAUUUCAUCUAAAGCUAAAUAUUGGCGAGAGACCGAUAGCGAACAAGUACCGUGAGGGAAAGAUGAAAAGAACUUUGAAAAGAGAGUUAAACAGUACGUGAAAUUGUCAAAAGGGAAGCGUUUGACACCAGUGUUGUUUUUUCCGAAAAUCAAUUACGAAUGUUUUAUUUUUGAGAAGUUAUGACUUCAUCGGCUUGCUUCUUUCUUUACGAAACUUUCUUAAUGCACUUUUCGGUUAACAAGUCAACAUCAAUUUCUUUUGUUGUAAAAGGGUAUGAGGAAGGUGGCUUUCUUCUCGGAGAAAGUGUUUAUAGCCUUGUACCUCUGCAAUCGGAGAGAUUGAGGUCUGCAGCGUAGAUCCUUCGGGGUUAGAUACAUUUGUGCUAAGUUAUAGCUUUUCAUAGACAACUUGUUGACUAUGUUUAGUCUUGUAGCUUACUCGCUUAUGCUAUUUUACCUACGCUUAGGAUGUUGAGUCGUAGAGCACGCAG
rnacentral:rRNA from 1 species